rnacentral:rRNA from 1 species
UACGUAGGGGGCAAGCGUUGUCCGGAAUCAUUGGGCGUAAAGAGCGUGUAGGCGGCUCGAUAAGUCCGCUGUGAAAGUCCAGGGCUCAACCCUGGAAGGCCGGUGGAAACUGUCGGGCUAGAGUCCGGAAGAGGCGAGUGGAAUUCCCGGUGUAGCGGUGAAAUGCGCAGAUAUCAGGAGGAACACCUAUUGCGAAGGCUGCUCGCUGGGACGUAACUGACGCUGAGACGCGAAAGCGUGGGGAGCAAACAGG